UGCCUAAGACAUGCAAGUCGAGUGGGUUUAGACCCACGGCGAACGGGUGAGUAAUACCUAGGAACUUUCUUUAAGUAGAGCAUAACCAGCCGAAAGGUUGGAUAAUACUCUAUGUGAUAGCAAUAUCAAAGUCGCAAGACGCUUAAAGUGAGGCCUGGGCACCAUCAGCUAGUUGGUAAGGUAAUGGCUUACCAAGGCUAUGACGGUUAGGGGUCCCGAGAGGGAUAACCCCCACACUGGAACUGCGACACGGUCCAGACUCCUGCGGGAGGCAGCAGUUUGGAAUUUUGGACAAUGGGCGAAAGCCUGAUCCAGCGACGCCGCGUGGACGAUGAGGUCCUUCGGGUCGUAAAGUCC
rnacentral:rRNA from 1 species